CUCAGAUUGAACGCUGGCGGCAGGCCUAACACAUGCAAGUCGAGCGGUAGAGAGGUGCUUGCAUCUCUUGAGAGCGGCGGACGGGUGAGUAAUGCCUAGGAAUCUGCCUAGUGGUGGGGGAGUAACGUUCGGAAACGGACGCUAAUACCGCAUACGUCCUACGGGAGAAAGCGGGGGAUCUUCGGACCUCGCGCCAUUAGAUGAGCCUAGGUCGGAUUAGCUAGUUGGUGAGGUAAUGGCUCACCAAGGCGACGAUCCGUAACUGGUCUGAGAGGAUGAUCAGUCACACUGGAACUGAGACACGGUCCAGACUCCUACGGGAGGCAGCAGUGGGGAAUAUUGGACAAUGGGCGAAAGCCUGAUCCAGCCAUGCCGCGUGUGUGAAGAAGGUCUUCGGAUUGUAAAGCACUUUAAGUUGGGAGGAAGGGUAGUAACCUAAUACGUUGCUACUUUGACGUUACCGACAGAAUAAGCACCGGCUAACUUCGUG
rnacentral:rRNA from 1 species